ACACCUCAGAACCUCGUAAAGAUGAAUCUGAUUGUGAUCAGGUGUCUGCUUGUUAACGACAGUGAUGUACUCGCGGCCGCCCCUCCCCCCUCACUCGUUUGCUAAGAGGAUCUACGAGUAGACCCGAAUGCCCUCCUUCCGUCGCCGUCUUCAAAACAAGCAAACAACCGUCAACGUCGUCACAUAGAAGCUCCUGAAGUUAGUUAAAUUCACACGAUAUUUAGCACAACUUUUGCCACUAACCGAGUAGCUGUGGUGGGAAGUACAGUAAGAUGAGCACAAAGUAGUCGACGGGCUUGCCGCGCUGAUACAGGAAGUGCUGCGGUGCGCGCUUGUCGUCGUCGUCGAACUUGAGCUCCUGCACGACGUCGGGAUGCCUCAAGAUCCUCAGCAGGACCUUCUCGGUCACGUGGAAGGGUGACCAAUCCCAGCACCUGGUAGAAGGGGUCGCCCUCGCCCUCGUCGUUGACCUUCUGCACGAUGGCCAGGUGCGAUUUGCCUGCCGACCACACGGGGGCGUGAGGAGCGGACCGACCGGCCGCGGGACCGACCUUGUCGGGAAGUGACGAAGCAUGGUGUCCAGCUUGGUGUCGUGGAAGACGAAGUGCACGGGGUGGUUGUAGAACUUGGUGAUGGUCUUGAGCGUGGUGCAGUCGUCGGGGUCGACGAAGGCCAGGUCCUUGACGUACAGGAUGUCCA